rnacentral:rRNA from 2 species
GUUCAUGACUGGGGUGAAGUCGUAACAAGGUAGCGCUAGGGGAACCUGGCGCUGGAUCACCUCCUUACACGAUGAU